rnacentral:rRNA from 1 species
GACGAACGCUGGCGGCGUGCUUAACACAUGCAAGUCGAACGGAAAGGCCCUGCUUUUGUGGGGUGCUCGAGUGGCGAACGGGUGAGUAACACGUGAGUAACCUGCCCUUGACUUUGGGAUAACUUCAGGAAACUGGGGCUAAUACCGGAUAGGAGCUCCUGCUGCAUGGUGGGGGUUGGAAAGUUUCGGCGGUUGGGGAUGGACUCGCGGCUUAUCAGCUUGUUGGUGGGGUAGUGGCUUACCAAGGCUUUGACGGGUAGCCGGCCUGAGAGGGUGACCGGCCACAUUGGGACUGAGAUGCGGCCCAGACUCCUACGGGGGGCAGCAGUGGGGAAUAUUGCACAAUGGGCGGAAGCCUGAUGCAGCAACGCCGCGUGCGGGAUGACGGCCUUCGGGUUGUAAACCGCUUUCGCCUGUGACGAAGCGUGAGUGACGGUAAUGGGUAAAGAAGCACCGGCUAACUACGUG